AGAGUUUGCUCCUGGCUCAGGACGAACGCUGGCGGCGCGCCUAACACAUGCAAGUCGAACGAGCGAGAGAGAGCUUGCUUUCUCGAGCGAGUGGCGAACGGGUGAGUAACGCGUGAGGAACCUGCCUCAAAGAGGGGGACAACAGUUGGAAACGACUGCUAAUACCGCAUAAGCCCACAGCUCGGCAUCGAGCAGAGGGAAAAGGAGCAAUCCGCUUUGAGAUGGCCUCGCGUCCGAUUAGCUGGUUGGUGAGGUAAUGGCCCACCAAGGCGACGAUCGGUAGCCGGACUGAGAGGUUGAGCGGCCACAUUGGGACUGAGACACGGCCCAGACUCCUACGGGAGGCAGCAGUGGGGAAUAUUGCACAAUGGGGGAAACCCUGAUGCAGCGACGCCGCGUGGAGGAAGAAGGUCUUCGGAGUGUAAACUCCUGUUGUUGAGGAAGAUAAUGACGGUACUCAACAAGGAAGUGACGGCUAACUACGUGCCAGCAGCCGCGGUAAAACGUAGGUCACAAGCGUUGUCCGGAAUUACUGGGUGUAAAGGGAGCGCAGGCGGGAAGACAAGUUGGAAGUGAAAUCUAUGGGCUCAACCCAUAAACUGCUUUCAAAACUGUUUUUCUUGAGUAGUGCAGAGGUAGGCGGAAUUCCCGGUGUAGCGGUGGAAUGCGUAGAUAUCGGGAGGAACACCAGUGGCGAAGGCGGCCUACUGGGCACCAACUGACGCUGAGGCUCGAAAGUGUGGGUAGCAAACAGGAUUAGAUACCCUGGUAGUCCACACCGUAAACGAUGAUUACUAGGUGUUGGAGGAUUGACCCCUUCAGUGCCGCAGUUAACACAAUAAGUAAUCCACCUGGGGAGUACGACCGCAAGGUUGAAACUCAAAGGAAUUGACGGGGGCCCGCACAAGCAGUGGAGUAUGUGGUUUAAUUCGACGCAACGCGAAGAACCUUACCAAGUCUUGACAUCCUGCGACGCACAUAGAAAUAUGUGUUUCCUUCGGGACGCAGAGACAGGUGGUGCAUGGUUGUCGUCAGCUCGUGUCGUGAGAUGUUGGGUUAAGUCCCGCAACGAGCGCAACCCUUACUGUCAGUUACUACGCAAGAGGACUCUGGCAGGACUGCCGUUGACAAAACGGAGGAAGGUGGGGAUGACGUCAAAUCAUCAUGCCCUUUAUGACUUGGGCUACACACGUACUACAAUGGCGUUAAACAAAGAGAAGCAAGACCACGAGGUGGAGCAAAACUCAGAAACAACGUCCCAGUUCGGACUGCAGGCUGCAACUCGCCUGCACGAAGUCGGAAUUGCUAGUAAUCGUGGAUCAGCAUGCCACGGUGAAUACAUUCCCGGGCCUGUACACACCGCCCGUC
rnacentral:rRNA from 1 species